AGACUUUAAAAAAGGCUGAGGCUGAGUCUCAGAGACUUGAGGAUUUGAGAAGUGAACUAGGGUGUCCUCAGAACACUGUGCUUCAGUGGGUACAUGAUGUCAGACAGUGGGCUACUGAGGAUUCGGUAGGUACCAGAUGUGAUGAACAACAUAACCUUCAGAAAUCAAUUGAACAAAUGUUUCUUGGUGUUCAUCAAAAAAAGCCAGCCUUUAUAAUCAGACUGACAGCAACAAAAUUCGACAUUUGCAUUGAAGGAAAAUGUGGGAAGAGAAGAGAAAACUUUUGCAAGCAAUCAAGCUCUACAAUGAGCAGGUGCCAGAUGAGGAG